rnacentral:rRNA from 1 species
GGACUGAGACACGGCCCAGACUCCUACGGGAGGCAGCAGUGGGGAAUAUUGCACAAUGGGGGAAACCCUGAUGCAGCGACGCCGCGUGGAGGAAGAAGGUCUUCGGAUUGUAAACUCCUGUUGUUGAGGAAGAUAAUGACGGUACUCAACAAGGAAGUGACGGCUAACUACGUGCCAGCAGCCGCGGUAAAACGUAGGUCACAAGCGUUGUCCGGAAUUACUGGGUGUAAAGGGAGCGCAGGCGGGAAGACAAGUUGGAAGUGAAAUCCAUGGGCUCAACCCAUGAACUGCUUUCAAAACUGUUUUUCUUGAGUAGUGCAGAGGUAGGCGGAAUUCCCGGUGUAGCGGUGGAAUGCGUAGAUAUCGGGAGGAACACCAGUGGCGAAGGCGGCCUACUGGGCACCAACUGACGCUGAGGCUCGAAAGUGUGGGUAGCAAACAGGAUUAGAUACCCUGGUAGUCCACACCGUAAACGAUGAUUACUAGGUGUUGGAGGAUUGACCCCUUCAGUGCCGCAGUUAACACAAUAAGUAAUCCACCUGGGGAGUACGACCGCAAGGUUGAAACUCAAAGGAAUUGACGGGGGCCCGCACAAGCAGUGGAGUAUGUGGUUUAAUUCGACGCAACGCGAAGAACCUUACCAAGUCUUGACAUCCUGCGACGGACAUAGAAAUAUGUCUUUCCUUCGGGACGCAGAGACAGGUGGUGCAUGGUUGUCGUCAGCUCGUGUCGUGAGAUGUUGGGUUAAGUCCCGCAACGAGCGCAACCCUUAU